UCACCUGGGCCUAAAAGUGGUCAGACUGACCCUUGUCGGGGAGGAGCCAUCUGGGACAGGGUCGCGCCAAUUAAAAAUCCCUGCGUAAGGGUUUGGGGAUCGGACAAAACUGCCUCCAGUCCCAGCUCCCCAGGCUUUGUGUUCUUUGGCUUCUCCUUUAAUGUCUCAGCGCCUCCGAUUCUUUAUUUGUAUACUAAAGCUGGUAAUUCUUGCCUUACAAGGUGGUUGUGAGGGUUAAAUGAGGCAGUAAGAGUAAAGCUUAGAAUCACGUCGGGCACAGACUCGAUUUAAGCUGUAGGUAAUUACUCCAUCCCCCAAAAUCGACCCGGGCUGAAGCGCUAGUUUUGUGUCAAACAACCGCGAAGGUUGUUUGGGGAGUGAGGACUCGGAGCAGAAGGGGGCGGUUAGGCGAAUAGCACAGAUGAAGAUCCAGUUUCAGACAUGAGACUCGUUGGGUGAUCAUUUCAUUGAGAUCAACCUGAAUGACCAGGUGUAAAGUGCAAGAGUAAUAUGCUAUGACUGAGUAACUAUGUUUCCGGUAGCCCCUAAACCCCAGGAUUCCAGUCAACCAUCAGACAGACUCAUGACUGAAAAACAG
rnacentral:lncRNA from 10 species